rnacentral:misc_RNA from 1 species
GCGCUUUUGACAACACUGAUUAGCUAUAUCUAAUAUGCUGAACACUUGCAUGUGUAAUACAUAUGCUUGUCAUGCACCCAGCUGGCCUGAGAGGCCAGGGGAGAUAUGUGACUAAGGAGGAGCAAUAUGACUUAACAAAGUUCCAUUCAUAUAACCAUAACAUGUUAUUAUCACUUUUACCGUACAGUCUGUACCUCCACCCACCUUUCUGCACUUAUUCAAGAAGUAACUAUGAUUUGAGUCAAUCAUUCACCAACAAUUCAAUUGUCUUCUCAGUAUCUAACCAACUCUUUUAUCUUCUACUGCAUAAACUUCCUAUCUAUCCUUUCUCAAUCUGUCUAUCAUCUCUAGAACAUGCAGAGUGACUUUCAAACUAAUGCAUGAAAGCAACUUAAGCUGAAGCUGUUUCAUCAACAAUGGCCUUGCUACAGAAGCAUAUCUGAUUUUUAUUUCUAUGUUCAUAUUUAAUCAUAUGGUCAAAGGAAUAUUGUUUAGUUUGAACAGAAAAGAGUUUAUGGAGGUCGUUCUUUUUUUUGAAGCCUACUAACUAUCCCAAAUCAUUAUAGAUUAAGCAUCUAGCACAAAACCAAUUAAAA